GACGAACGCUGGCGGCGUGCUUAACACAUGCAAGUCGAGCGGAAAGGCCACUUCGGUGGUACUCGAGCGGCGAACGGGUGAGUAACACGUGAGUAAUCUGCCCCUGGCUUUGGGAUAGCCACCGGAAACGGUGAUUAAUACCGGAUAUGACAGCUUCUCGCAUGAGUGGUUGUGGAAAGUUUUUCGGCCAGGGAUGUGCUCGCGGCCUAUCAGCUUGAUGGUGAGGUAAUGGCUCACCAUGGCUUCGACGGGUAGCCGGCCUGAGAGGGUGACCGGUCACACUGGGACUGAGACACGGCCCAGACUCCUACGGGAGGCAGCAGUGGGGAAUAUUGGACAAUGGGCGGAAGCCUGAUCCAGCAACGCCGCGUGAGGGAUGACGGCCUUCGGGUUGUAAACCUCUUUCGCCUGUGACGAAGCGCAAGUGACGGUAACAGGUAAAGAAGCACCGGCCAACUACGUGCCAGCCGCCGCAGUAAAAC
rnacentral:rRNA from 1 species